GACGAACGCUGGCGGCGUGCUUAACACAUGCAAGUCGAACGGAAAGGCCCUGCUUUUGUGGGGUGCUCGAGUGGCGAACGGGUGAGUAACACGUGAGUAACCUGCCCUUGACUUUGGGAUAACUUUUGGAAACUGGGGCUAAUAUCCGAGAGGAUCUCCUGCUGCACGGGGGGGGUUGGAAAGUUUCGGCGGUUGGGGAUGGAAUCGCGGGUUAUCAGCUUGUUGGUGGGGUAGUGGCGUUCCAAGCCUUUGAAGGGUAGCCGGCCUGAGAGGGUGACCGGCCACAUUGGUACUGAGAUACGGCCCAGAAUCCUACGGGAGGCAGCAGUGGGGAAUAUUGCACAAUGGGCGGAAGCCUGAUGCAGCAACGCCGCGUGCGGGAUGACGGCCUUCGGGUUGUAAACCGCUUUCGCCUGUAACGAAGCGUGAGUGACGGUAAUGGGUAAAGAAGCACCGGCUAACUACGUG
rnacentral:rRNA from 1 species